CUUAGAGAUGUUGCAGCAGAUUGGAGGGUGCAGAGAUGUAUCAGUCAGAUCAGAGUAACCAGCUGGCUCCUGGCUCCUGAUCAUUGUCACAGCUCAGUAGCUGGAAGCUCCUUCCAUAUGGCUGAUGCCUUUAAAAAAAAUCUCCUCAGUCUCCAUCCCCAUCUGCAAUACUGUUCAGUUAUUCAAUCAUUUAAGUCAUUCAUGUAUUGAAAAGAGGAUGGGGCUAUGAUCCCUCUGCUCUGUGGCAGUACAUCUACAAAUGGGAGAGGCCUGGCCCCACAUCUGGCCUAGGUCUGGAGGUGUCCUAUGGAAUUGAAAGCUGGCUGGAACUGUCAUCUUAACAUGUCCUGGUCAUCUUAACGUCUCCACCUCUCUGGCAAGCCUCUUUUCAAAUCUUUUUGUUACCAUCUUCGGCUUUUUCCCUCCAUACUAGAUUCUUAAUGAAUCAUUGCCAACAAGAGAAAACUUUAUACAUGAAGAGAAUGGCAAUAAGAAUGAACUCAUCUUUUUAAUUUUAAAACUGGUAUAUAUUCCUAUAUAAUAGGAAUGGAGGAUACUUGCAAAGCCUAUUUGUUCCUCUACAGAAGAGUUUAAAAUUACCUGGGCUAACGGAAGGGAGAAGUCAGCCAGUGAGAUGCUCCUGAAUGCCCUGAAUUGUGACUUACCUCUUCUUAUCCACAUCCUGAUCAAGGAAAGGGAUGAGAGAGAAGUGGAGAGAGAAGAAAUGGAAAUUCAAAAGUUUUGACGGCAGAGGAAAAUUGUGCUUAUUUCCAGAACGAGAUGAACAAGGUCCUGGGUCCCUACAUGUCAUACUGGCUAGAGACUGCCACUGCCAUCCUCAUUAUAGCCCCAGACAAUUCGGCUCUUGACAAUGUAUCCAGCGAAACAAAAGUGUAACAGCAGAUCAGCCCCACUUGGAAAGCAGGUGCAUAGCCACGUCUUUCUAUACAAGCUCAGUCCUUCCUGAAGUUGCCCUCUCACCUACUCCCCUACAUCAAAAGUGACUCAUCAAAGUAUUCAGUAGACAAAAUUAGUCUCUAUCCAGAGAGAAUUCGCUACUUGGAAAAUAAGAUGUUCUCUUUCUCAUUACAUACAAAAAAAAAAGUUGAUAAAAUCACAGAAUUCAGUUUGAGAGAGAGGAAGAUACUAAAUGUCAUUUGGCGUUCUGACCUUGAAGUCACAUUGAGUCCAAUUCAAUCAGAAAAUUGCAAGUGAAAAACUGGAUUUUUAAUGAAACACCAGGACUAGAAAUACUGACUUUGGGGGUCAUCUGCCGAGAGAAAAUAGCUGAAAUGUUUGGAAUGGAUGAGAUCUCCAAAGCAACAAGUGAAGAAAAAGGAACAAAGGUCCAAAAAUAAAAAUUGUUGAACAUCCAUGCUUAUAGGUAAAAGGAGGGGAGAAGUAAGCAAGAAAUUAAGAAAGUAGUUCUAGAGGGAAGACAAGAAAUGGGAUGGUAUCUUGGAAGUUCAGAGAAGACUGUGGGUACAAAGAGGUGGCAGCAGGAUUUAAAAGAACUUUAAAAUUCAGUAAAAUUAGGACUGAAUGACCUCACUGAUGUCGUUGACUACAGGAGGUGAGAGUACCAGAUUCAGAGCACUCAUUUGACAAGUUUAGAGCAGAGCGAGAGCAAGGGAGAGGUUAA
rnacentral:lncRNA from 1 species